GACUGCUCCAGUGGCCUAAUGGUUAGAGCAUCCACUUUGGGUGCAGGAGGUCAUGGGUUCCAUCCCCAUCCAAGUCA